UCACCUUAUAUUCCCAAGAUCUGAGUCUUGCUCUUUUCUCACACUGAGCUAACUACAGUAUGUCCACAAAUACAUCAGGCUCACCUGCUUCAGAAACUUUGAGCCCUCCUAGUCUUCUCCAGCCUUUUGGGCAUUUCUUUAUUCAAGUCUUGGUUCAAAUGUUACUUCUUUAAAGGGGCUUUUUUGGAGCCCUCAGUUUAAGGUAAUCCCCCAAACCCAGUAUGUUUAAGUUUUAUCACAAUGCCCUGUACAGUUUUUUUUGGGGGGAGGGGGGCAUACCAGGGAUUGAACUAAGGGGCACUCAAUUACUGAGCCACAUCCCCAGAUGGGAUCUCACUGAGUUGCAUAGCACCUUGCUGUUGCCGAGGCUGGCUUUGAACUCACAAUCCUCCUGAGCUGCUGGGAUUACAGGCAUAUGCCACUGUGCCCAGCUGCCCUGUUAAGUUUUUUAGAGAGGAGCAUAAUUAAUAGAAAUUUGUUUAAUUUGCUUCUCCCUGCCCUGUUUUUCCUCACUACACUAUAAAGUAGGGGCAGGACUUGGUUUGCUCACUGCUUUUUCUCAGUAUUGAGAACUGCCUGGCUUGUGAUAAGUGUUUAGUAAAGUGCUGAAAAUAGUGCAAAUGUCAAAAGGGUUGGAAGUCUCAGACACUAUUUUUUUAGUAGGAGGUAAUAUUUUCACUGUUGACGACAAACAAAAGAAAAGUGUAACAAAUCCAUAUUCCUGUCACCCCAACAUAAUCGUUUUCGUAUUUUGCAUUGUACAUAUUAUUAUCCAGCCCUCACCUGCAUGUUUACAUAAUCAUAAUUUAGGAUGAAUUGUGGAAUAAUAAAAACCUGACAUUUUCCUUAAGGCAAAUUCUACCCAACUGAACUCAAAUAGGUUUGUGACUGUACCUGUACUUCAUUUUGUUUGCUGUAAAAAUGCAAAGAUUUCAGAAGAGAAUCAAUUCUUGUAUUAGGUGAUGGGGUUAUGGACAUCCUUGUUACUUGUUGGCAUAUUCUUUAAUGAUCUUUAGGUUUUUACAGUAAAACAUUUCCAGAACCAAUGUAGUUUGUAGUGUGGUUAUAUUAACUUUGGUAUUGAACAUAGGUAAUGAAUGUAUUUGUAAAAUAUUUGUAAGCCCCUGCUAAGUGCAGAAGGAUUUCAGACGGGUAAUGUUGGUAAGACAGGUAUGCAAGCAACAAAGUAGAAAUGCUGAGGAGACAGAAAUGUCUUUACUAGAAACCAGAACUGCGUGUAUCAUAUAGUAACAAUAUUUCUUAUCUUAAAAGCAUUUCAUGACUACACAUGGAGUGAAAAGUUUAUCCCUGAAUAGUUUUGAAGAUAUUUCCUUUAAGUAUUCUCACAUUACUUUUGUUUACCGAAUAAGCAUUAAGUUUUUUAAAGUAAAAAUAGGCCAGGAAUCGGU
rnacentral:lncRNA from 1 species